rnacentral:rRNA from 1 species
CCUACGGGUGGCUGCAGUGGGGAAUAUUGGACAAUGGGCGCAAGCCUGAUCCAGCAAUGCCGCGUGUGUGAAGAAGGCCUGCGGGUUGUAAAGCACUUUCAGUGGGGAGGAAGGCCUCGAUAUUAAUACUAUUGAGGAUUGACGUUACCCACAGAAGAAGCACCGGCUAACUCUGUGCCAGCAGCCGCGGUAAUACAGAGGGUGCAAGCGUUAAGUGGAGUGACUGGGGGUGGAUGCUGCGUACGGGGUUGAAAGCCCCGGGCUCAACCUGGGAAUUGCAUUUGAUACUGAGUAACUUGAGUAUGGUAGAGGGAAGUGGAAUUUCCAGUGUAGCGGUGAAAUGCGUAGAUAUUGGAAGGAACAUCAGUGGCGAAGGCGACUUCCUGGACCAUUACUGACACUGAGGCACGAAAGCGUGGGGAGCGAACAGGAUUAGAUACCCGAGUAGUC